AAAGCCCAAAAACCCAAAAAAACUACAAAAGUCCCUCAAGCCCAGACAACAAAGGACCCAAAGACAACCCGAUUGACUCGAAACACAUCUCGGAAGCCCUCAAGGGCGCCGUCUUCUACUGGCAGAACCAGCCGAAGGAGCCUGAAACAGUCAGAAGGAAAUUGCAAAAUCGAAACUGAGAGUCCUACUCCUUACUCAUAUGCAUCAAUC
rnacentral:misc_RNA from 1 species